AUGAAACUUGGAAGUUUCCCGUGAAUGUUGUAUCUUUUUUUUCUCGAAUGUUGUAUCUGACAAACAUAAUAUCAUGCUUCACCUGUGCGACCUUCCAAAGGAGAGCAAGGGUUUUGAUCUAGUGAAGGAACCAGUUUCACAUGAUCCCUCAAGAGUUGCUGAGACACUCGAUUGGCCAGCACCGACUGCCCAUCGAAAAGCUCUCCUGUCGUAGGCCUCCCGAACUGCUUUCCAAGAGCAUCAUUUUGAGAGGAUGCCAAUUCCCGGAAAGCAUGAGAUCCUGACGGUGUCCCUCGUAAAACAUCAGGAUCCCAGUACGAAGGCCCAUUAACUCAGUUGGUUAGAGCAUCGUGCUGAUAACGUGUUAUAAAACAAUAAAAGAAC
rnacentral:lncRNA from 1 species